UUGUUUUCUUUUUAGCUCACCUGAGCCGAAGGCUCAAGUGAGCUUUUCUGAUCACAUUGUGUCCGUCGUCCGUCCGUCCGUCCGUCUGUCCGUCUGUUCUUACGAGAGGUACAUUAUGGGGUAAAAUUAAUGUAUUUUCCAGCAGUGUGGGGUUUUUUGGGUACUGUGGGGUUAACCCCAUAAUGAAGAGGUCUAAUUACGUUCAAAAUUACUCUAUGAGGUCGAAAAACCUAAAAUUAGAUUUAACCUCACAAAGACUUUGUCCAAAUUUUGGACAUGUCCUUAGCCCAAAACGCUCAGACAUUCAGAAAUCUGCUGUUUAGAGGAGUUCGGUAAUUGAAUCGAGGAGUUCCGAAUACCUGAGCAUGCGCAUAUAUUUAAAACUAACUGCGCAUGCGCAGAAUACGGAAGUAGCUGUGUUUGGACAUUUUUGUAUUAGCAGUGAGGAAAUUCGGAAACACAAAAAGCAAAUGCAAGGUCUGCAAUGAAAAUCGACCGAUACCCGGGGGUCGGGCUAGUGGUUUUCUGCAAGAGGGUCGCCCCGUUGGCCAGUAAAAAAAGAUAAUAUUAUUUAUACACGUGCAAUACAUGCAAAGCACACCUGAGUUCAGAUACUGAAAGUGAACAUCAGUGGAACUUUGAUGAUCUAGGCCGCUCUAUUUUUGCAGCAACACCAGCAUGCGUCGGACAUUCAUAAAGUUGAAAGAACAAACCUAUGACUUGAACACACAAUUUGUGAUCUGAAUAUAGUUCACAAAUUUAAGGAAAGCAACUAUCAAAGACAUCCAGAUUGAUGGUAUACAUGAAGUAUGAAUGAAAGCCUUUUCAGAAGAACAAGCACAAUCCCGAUUCAUUCUUGCCAUUGUCUUCUCCAGACGGUGACAUUUAGGACCUGACUUACUUUUCAGAAAAAGAAGAUGAAUCGAUUUUUGAUAGUUGAUCUUAAAAAGAUAACAUUUUCAGGGGUCGUGGAUUGAAUGACAUUUUCUUGCAAUCUCCCAUGCAGAGUUGUCAGGUGAAUGUAUGAGCCGAUGGUAGAGAGUGAUUUUCUUGAUGG